rnacentral:rRNA from 1 species
ACGGAAGGCAGCAGUGGGGGAUAUUGCACAAUGGGGGAAACCCUGAUGCAGCGACGCCGCGUGAGUGAUGAAGUAUUUCGGUACGUAAAGCUCUAUCAGCAGGGAAGAAAAUGACGGUACCUGACUAAGAAGCUCCGGCUAAAUACGUGCCAGCAGCCGCGGUAAUACGUAUGGAGCAAGCGUUAUCCGGAUUUACUGGGUGUAAAGGGAGCGUAGACGGUUUGCCAAGUCUGAUGUGAAAGGUGGGGGCUCAACCCCCAAACUGCAUUGGAAACUGGUAGACUAGAGUGUCGGAGAGGUAAGUGGAAUUCCUAGUGUAGCGGUGAAAUGCGUAGAUAUUAGGAGGAACACCAGUGGCGAAGGCGGCUUACUGGACGAUAACUGACGUUGAGGCUCGAAAGCGUGGGGAGCAAACAGGAUUAGAUACCCUGGUA